rnacentral:rRNA from 1 species
AGUGAACGCUGGCGGUAGGCCUAACACAUGCAAGUCGAACGGCAGCACAGUAAGAGCUUGCUCUUACGGGUGGCGAGUGGCGGACGGGUGAGGAAUACAUCGGAAUCUACUUUUUCGUGGGGGAUAACGUAGGGAAACUUACGCUAAUACCGCAUACGACCUACGGGUGAAAGCAGGGGAUCUUCGGACCUUGCGCGAUUGAAUGAGCCGAUGUCGGAUUAGCUAGUUGGCGGGGUAAAGGCCCACCAAGGCGACGAUCCGUAGCUGGUCUGAGAGGAUGAUCAGCCAAACUUGAACUUAGACACGGUCCAGGCUCCUACGGGAGGCCGCAGUGGGGAAUAUUGGACAAUGGGCGCAAGCCUGAUCCAGCCAUACCGCGUGGGUGAAGAAGGCCUUCGGGUUGUAAAGCCCUUUUGUUGGGAAAGAAAAGCAGCAGGUUAAUACCCCGCUGUUCUGACGGUACCCAAAGAAUAAGCACCGGCUAACUUCGUG